ACCCCACAUACUCACACACACUCUCACACACACUCGAUUCCACAUGCCUUUUCCCGUCAUGCUGCUUCUUGGGGUGUCCCCAUCCGUGUCGUCCAAGGACCAUGUCCUCGUCCUUACGUGGGACAGCUCUGCAGGCUCCCGUGACAUCCCACGGAUAUUUAUUUAUCGCCUGCUGCAUGCCAGUCCCCCACGCGAGUGCCACAGUUACCAUGGUGACUCGAGGCAGGCCCCGCCUUCUGGAAGAGCAGAGUGACGAAGCCCUGCGGUCCAGUGCUGGCUGCCAGUUCCCAGCCCUCGGCAGGUGCUGCUGUGGGCCCAGGGGCGCCACAGUGAAUAAAACCCAGGGGACCCCCGCCCAGGGCUCCGCCGCCUGGGAGCUGACUUCUAGCCUCGGGCGAACGGAGAAGCGGGGUGCCGGGGUGGGGAGCUACUGGAGGAAACACUGGGUCGGACAGCGGAGGGGGUGUGUAGCCAGGGGGCGGGGGAGGGGGAGGGCCAGAGCGGGGCCGGUGUCUGGCCAGGGUGCCCUCAGCAGCCAGGCAGGAGGUAAGAGGGGCCCUGGGCAGCUGUGGGAGCCGCAGUGGCUGUCCGUUGGGUGUGCUGUGUGGACGGAGGGGCCGGGACAGGGUGCCCUGUCACCCUGUCGCUCACGCCACCCCAGACUGAGCCGUCACUGGCCCUGGGAGGGGCACUAGCUCCUGGCAUUUGUUUCUUGGCUAGCCUCUUAUUCUGACCCUUGCCUGGGAGGGCUUGGGCCGGCAGAGCACCAGCUGCCCCUAGAAGUCUAGCUAGUGGGCCUCGACUAUCCCUUAGGAAAUCCUUUUGAAUUAUUAUAAUUCUAAAUUAGGAUACACAGGCUGGGGCCAGCGUUGUGGCACAGGGGGGUAAGCGGCCGCUAGCAAUGCCGGCGUCCACAUCAGAGUGCAAGUUCUAGUCCCAGCUGCUCCACUUCCUAUCCAGCUUCCUGCCAGUGCACCUGAGAAGGCAACAGAAGAUGGCCCAAGUCCUUGGGUCCCUGCCAUCCACGUGGGAGACCCGGAUGGGGCUCCUGGCUCCUGGCUUCAGCUGGCCCAGACCUGGCCAUUGCGGACAUUUGGGGAGUGAACCAGUGGAUGGAAGAUCUCUCCAUCCGUCCCACCCUUUGUUCCUCUGCCUGUCAAAUGAAUAAAUAAAUCUUUUAAAGGAAAAGAACA
rnacentral:lncRNA from 1 species